UUAAUUUCAUUUUGGAAGUGCCAAAAGUCUUAAAUCAUAGUUUAAUAAUCAGAUAUGUAAACAUGGCACUAAUGCUAGACCAAGUAUUGCUACAUUCAGUUCAUUCCAACUUAUUUUUAUUCCAAGUUAGGUAAUAAUUUUAUCACACACACACACACGUGUGAUAUCUUUUUGCUGUGAUCUUCCACCGCUGCUGUGGAGACCGCCCCUUUCUGAACUGAAAGCAGGAGUAUUGAUGAUUUUUAUUAUUUUUUUAUUGUGCGUGUUAAACAGUGUGAUAUGUUGAGGAAUUGAUUACUGGCACACGUCUACUGAAUAGCAAGGAUCGUUAAGUCUUUAACGUGUUAUAGUUUACACCGGAGGAACUGCAAACAAUCUGAGAAAGGGAGAAACCCGUCAGCUACGAAAGGGCACACUUGGUCCAAAAAUGUACACACACUCCACAAAAACUCUGCAGUGCCUGAGGAGUGUUUACUCGCUCCAGUCUUCAGAAGGGAAACGACCUACAGAUUCACUUUUGAAAGACUUUCACAGGCAUCACAAACAUUUGUUUAUAUUACACUCGUAUCAAUUUGGCAGGUUUUUUUCUUCUUAAUCCGAAGCAACCACCACUUCUUUGUGUUUGUAUUUCACAAAUUUCCUUACCACAUCUUACAAGAGCUGCACGACAAUCACAACAAUCCUGUACAAUAGGCACAUCCUUUUCAUUAACACAAUCUCAGUGAAAUAUCUUCUGUCUGUUUACUUUACACGCAAACAAAACAACUCAAGCUGAGAACUUUAUUGCUGAUUCACGUUAUACCACACCGCCUUCGAAUUCUCCAGAACAUGCUCUAAUACUUUAUCGUUUCUAUAGCAACAGCCUACACAGGGAAUUGUAUGUUAUUAUAUUGUAUUGUAUUGUAUUAUAUUGCACUUCCAUCAAUCAUCAUUGCAACACCUGAUCCCUAGGUGGCGGUAAUGUACAACUCAGCACAGAAGAAGAAGAGGAGGAGGAGCUGGGGGAGAAAAAGCAAGGAAGAAGAGUGUUAAUGGUGUUUACUGCUCAUCUGGAGAGUCACCGCCAUCUUUCCGCAGGGGGUUAGAAGUGUAAUGAACAGAAUCUGCUGUUUGUCAAUAACUGGAAUCUGUUCUGGGAGCGUCCUAGGUUGUUUCGUCCUGAUGUCCUGCACCCCAGCAGCCUCGGAGCGGAACUGCUGUCUGACAACAUCUCCAAGACACUACACUCCAAGUGACUGUCUACCGUAAGCACAUCAUCUACAAUAACAAUGUUCAUCAUAAGCAAUGUUCAAUUAAUAGUCCAACACCUGUAGUACAUUCUAUAGAGACUGUGUCUGUUCCCCGAGCUAUACAAAUACAUAGACAAUUUCAGAAUGUUUGUUUUAGUAACCUAGUUAACCUAAAAUUAGAUCAUACAUCCAGCACCUUUAAUCUGAAGCUAGGACUAUUAAACAUUAGAUCUCUUGCGUCUAAGGCUCUUAUUGUUAACGACAUCAUUACUGAUCAGGAAUGUAAUUUAAUGUGUUUAACGGAAACUUGGAUUAAACCAAACGAGUACAUAGCAUGAAAUGAAGCAAGUCCUCCUGGAUACAGUUACGUACAUCAGCCUCGUUCAACUGGUAGAGGAGGAGGUGUUGGUCUCAUCCAUAGUAAAAAUCUAGGCGUGACACAAAAACCUAGUCAUAAAUUUAAUUCUUUUGAAAUUCUUUAUACCAGCAUAACUUAUGUAGCCACAAAAAAUAAGUCAAUUCCUCUAAUUAUUAUUUACAGACCCCCAGGGCCAUAUACUGAAUUUCCUAGUGAAUUUGCAGACUUUAUCUCAAACCUGGUUGUGUCUGUGGAUAAAGCAUUAAUCGUCUGAGACUUUAAUAUUCAUUUUAGAUAACCCAGAAGACCCUCUGAGAACAGCGGUUGUGUCCAUCUUAGAUUCAGUAGAGGUCAAUCAGAACGUAAUCGGACCUACUCAUAAUGGUCACACUCUUGACCUCAUACGUACGGAUUAAAUAUAGAAAACAUUGUAACACUUCCACAGUCUGAAGUUGUCUCCGAUCAUUAUCUCGUUCAUGAUACGUAUGGAUCAUAUUUCCACCUCGCCACCGCAUAAAAUGUACUUUCACAUCAGCUACUGCACCGAGCUUCAUCAAUAACCUCGCACAGACAUCAGUUAGAUUUGGAUCACCGUCUGAUCCGAUAGAACUCAAUCAGGCAACCGAAUCAACGCUCCGCUACACGCUAGAUCAGAGGUGCCCAAACUAGGGUCUGCGGGCCAAACUUGGCCCUUCACAGGAAAAAGUUUGGGCACCUCUGCGCUAGAUAGAUUAGAAAAUGUUGGAGAAGAUUUUUGAUAGAAAUAAAACACAAGGGCAAUAAAAUCUGGAGAAUGAGAAUUUAUUGAGAAUAAGGGAAAGAACAGAGUCACGCUCUCUUCCUUAUAGACAAUGUCUCUUAAAAGUUAACUACAGCAAGCCCUAGGGCCUGACCAAAAAGAGGAAGUGCAGCACACAGCACACACACCCAAGAGCAUGAACUCACUCACACACACACCCAGAGUAAUCAGAAUAACAACGUAAUUUCUAAUAAUUAUUUUACUAAAUCAUACAGUACAUAUGCUAAUAACAAUGCAGAAAAAGCACACAGGUGAUAAAUGUCCUCACUCAAAUACAUUUAUAAUCUGAGUAAUAACCCGAAGUAUAAUGAACUGCAAUGGGUAUUAACUGCAUUACCUUGAACAAACAUCUUCAAAUACCACACAAUGCUUAGUAUAAUGUGUUGCAAAUAGAGCUGCAACAACUAAUCCAUAAUAGUUGAUGAUAAUCGAUAAUGAAAAUCGUUGACUGAGCAACCCUCAUCGUGAGUCACAAAGUGCGCUUCAGCAGCGUGGCCCCCACUCACUACACACACACACACCUGUGUUCAUACAAGCCCGCUUUCUACACAACCCCGGAUCAUGCUGAUUGAUGAUGUAAGGAUUGAGGAUGUGGUCAUUUUCUUUAAUCGCACGUCUAUCAUUAAAGUAUCCGCAUCGUGUGAUCAAAAACGGAGAACGCGUGUUAAUUUGUUAACCAUUAAAACCAGUGCCAUUAUUGGUUCUUAAUGGUAUCCACUAGACACAACAUGCCACCAAAGCAACAAAUUACCAGUAGACCUACAGGGACAUUACAGAUUCUAUGGGGGUUUCUGUUGUGAUUGUUUUUUGUUUUGUUUUUUUCAGCAGGGAAAUUCCUAUUUCCAUUUUGGGAAUAAAUCUGAACAAAGUGUAACCAAAUAAUGAGCUAAUAAAAUUAUUUAUAUGUAAUUUGCAUUCAGUCUCUCAAUCUGGCAACAAUGAGAAGCUGUGUUUUUCUUUGUCUUUUACUUUUUUAUUUUUAUUUUUUAUUUUUUUAAGUGUACUGGAGGAAAAUACUAAAAUAGUUUUAUUUGAUUUAAAUGUAUUAAUUAUUGACAUCAUUGCCUACUGGAUUUCCUUUUUUAUUUUAGUAAUAAAUAUAUUUUAGUAAUAAAUCAUAGCAAACUGUGACUAAAUUCAUAAUGAACUAAUUAAUGCACAGAAGAAAAAAAAAAACAUGUUUCAAAUUGCACUCGAUUGUUCAAUCUGGCAACAAUGAGAAGCUUUUAUUAGUAUUUACAUAAACUUCUGGGGGAAAAUACUAGAAAAUACAUGUAAAUGGUAAAUGUCGCACUUAUAGCGCUUUUAUCCAAAGCGCUUUACACUGUCUCUCAUUCACCCAUUCACACACACAUGGUAGCAGAGCUGCCAUGCAAGGGGAUAACUUACCAUCGGGAGCAACUUGGGGUUCAGUGUCUUGCCCAAGGACACUUCGAAAUGUGGAGUCACCCGGGCCGGGAAUUGAACCGCCAACCCUACGAUUGGUGGACAAUCCAUUGUGGAUUCCUUUUUUUGCGCAUAAAACCGGUUUGCUCUUCAGAUAUAAGGGAUAACGUUCUCUAAACGAGAUGCCAUUACUUUCACCAACACCUUUACAUCUGCAUUAAGCAGAGACAGCGGCCUAUAAGAACCACAGGAGGACGGAUCCUUACCCUCCUUAAGAAGGAGAGCUAUAGUGGCUUGUGUCAGAGCAGGAGGCAAAGACCCACAUUCCAAGGAUUCGUUGAACACAGAUAAAAGCAAUGGAGCUAAUUUUCCAAUAGAUGCUUUAAACAAUUCAAUUGGAACCCGUCCGGGCCAGGAGCUUUGUUACACUGCAUAGUUUUAACUGAAUUCAAAUUUCUUCAAGAGAGUGGGGAGUCCAGUUGCAUGGCAGUAUUCGAAUCAAUAACAGGGGUACAAAGGUCUUGAAGAAAUGCAUUCACUUUAGUAUCGUCUGCAGGAAAUUCAGAUUUAUAAGGUGAAGAGUAAAACCAUUUAAAAGUAGCAUUAAUUUCCAUGGGCUCUGUAGUGACUAUAUUAUAAGUGUGCGUGUGCUAAUCUUAAACAAACCUGUGCGUGUGCUGUGACGGGAAAUACCGGUUUAAAGCGUGUUCGCAUUAAAGUCUUGCUGAAGGUGUUAAAUGUCACAGAGCCACACUCACGAGCAUCAUAAACCAGUUUAAAAAAUUAAUAAUGAUAAUUUCUGUGCCUUUGGUGAAAACUUUCAGAGCGUUUUAAAUCUGCACCAGCCUUUUGUAAAUGUACAGAAAGUAUAUAAUCCGUAUAUGUAAAAUAUUUAAAUAAAUAAAAAGCAGUGCUCGUGUUAUUACAGGAGGUGACAUUUUGUAGGAAAACGUGAAUAGUGAACGCGCCUCGGGGACGUGCACUGUAGGGUUGACAAAAGGCCAAAAACGCUUUAACAACAAGUUUCAGCUCCAGUUAAAGGAAAGUGCUGGACUCAAGUAGUUUUUUCCCCUACAAUGAUUCCUAGAUAACCGGUUUAGAUUACAAGUAAAAUAUACUAACUUGUUGAUUUGAUCAUAUCACAUUCCACAACACUGAUUAAACCUGAGGUUCUGAUUCUCACAGGGGCCUCUGUUACUGACUGUUUAACACUGUCUCAGUUCUGAGAUUCAUUUAAUGUUCAGUCGAAGUGAAUAAGUUUCAUAUUUAGUGUAAAAUAUUAGUGUAAUCCACCUGUUUCUAAAUUACAUUAUAUAGCACAUCUAUCAUGUGCACACUGAAAAUUCAAGUCCCAGAUGUUUCUAAAACUACACAACCGUGUGUAUAUAUGUAUAUUUUAUAUAAGUGUAUAUAUGUAUACAGGAAAUCACACACGCACCUCUACUGCAUCCUCCAGGAAACACGUGAAGGAAACUGUUGUGGAUAAAAAAUGUCAUAAAAUAAACAUAAGGGAGAAGAAGGAAAAACGGGCACCUAGACACGUAGAAGCGGGAUUAGGCGGACAUUGACAGAUUGGAAUUACGAGCAAUUUAAGAGCAGUAAUAGUCAAAAAAAGUCAAAAAGAAGUGUACGAGCUGAGGAGCGCUAAAAACACACACACACACACACUCGUGCAGUCAAGGGCGGGCAAGUAGACACAACAUACAUAAACACACAUGAAUAACUUUAAUAAUAUCUUAUAGUAAUAGAGAAACUCUAUAAAAAAACAGAAUAGUAGGAUAUGCAGGACAGUAGACCUGUAAUGAUAUUAAGAAGUUGGAAGUACAGUAAACCGCUUUUCAAGUAGUAUAAAUAUAUAUAAACUAAGAAAUAUAGUGCAAAUAUGAAAAUAAAUUAUAAACGAGAAAUACAGGAAAAAAAAGGAAAAUAUAACUUACUCAUGAUUCAGAUGGUGAAGAUUCUCGUCUCGCAAGGAAAGCCUUAAUUUUUAGAGAACCAUGAAGAAAGCCAGUUAUAAGGGUGGCUGCCCCCCCCCUCGAGAUAACGAUAAGACCAAGGUCCCUCCCGGUUGUUUAGUCGUCUUGCUUACGUCAUUUUUUUAACCUAGGGAAUUGAGAAUCCUGG